rnacentral:lncRNA from 1 species
UGAUGCAUGCCUCUGAGCACUCCUUAGGCGCUGGAUGAUGCAAUGCACAAUACAACAAACAUCCUAUUUAAAAGUGCUCCCCACACGGAAGCUUUUAUUUUUAAACUCUAAUUCAUUCAUUCAUGAAAACUAUUCGAAAACCUUUUUAAAACUGUUUCCCACACGAAAACUCUAUUUUGAAAAUCAACUAUCUCGAGGGGUAGAAAACCACGAUGCGUAAAUAUGUAUACAUACACAAAUCCGAGAACUGAAUAUUCAUAAAACCAAAACCAGUGAUCCACAAAAUCUCUAAUCAUACAUAACGGAAAUCACAAACAUUCAAACAUCUAACUGAACUAUUUACUAUUAACAACAACUAAAUGCGGGAAGAAAUAUAACCAGGGUGACGGUCGCUACUGCCGACUAGCUAGAUCGUCCUCCUAUCGAGGCCAAAUACCAAAUCCUCGUCCAUGUCACCUGGGGGGAAUGGGGGGUGAGAAACCGCAACCAUGGUUUUCCAGUGGGUACGACAGAGCCACGAAGGCAAGUCGUAAUCAUCGGAAACCAAAGGAGAUAGAACAACAGAUAUGAACAUGAUGUGAUAUAAGAGCAACUACAGUAGUAAUAGAAACAUGAUAAUAACUGAGCAAGAAUAAAACUACUACUGUAAUAAAAACUCAACUGAACGGAUGCCUCAAGGGUAAAUAGUCCAAAAUCAAAUCCAAUCUGAUACUGCUAUAUUGGUCCACCGACCUCAAGCAUUGUCUGUCACAGAGCAGACACUGUCAACUUAUUCAUGCGUCACCGACGACCUAUCCGGAUACGUACACCCCUUGGUUGGUGGCAAAACCAACCUGGUGUCUAGAAUACACAGUGCUGUGACUAAAUCAUACUGAUAUGCUCAAAACGAAAACCGGCAAAAAGAGAGCGGUGCCUUGGCCGAAGCCAGAUGCAAGGGCGUACAACGCCGAACCACGAUCAACUAGAUCGAAACACACGACAAAGGAGUCGAUGUGUUGCCUGGACCCAAGGUCCACAGAGAUACAAUAUAUAUGCAACCUGCUCUACAUGUCUAUCCACAACUAUUCAAAUGCAAUCAAUGAGAUACGAUAAACAAACGAUAAACAAUCAACUGACAUGUAGAGACUACGAUACUGAUAUGAAAGAACAGCGGAAGGGUGAAACGAUCUCACCGACUACCAGCUCGAAGCACUCACCUGUCACUGUCGCGUCGGAACACUGGGUACGCAGAGAGUCUACCGUACCGAUGAAGAUCCACUAGCUCAGUAUCCAAACCACUAACCCAAAGCACGAGACUCACAAACCCCCCACACAAGAUCCCCAUAAUCAGUUUUCCAAAACUGAUCACCGUAACUCACCGGAAGUCCCGAAAACCACACCGGGACGCCGUCGGGACCCACUAAGUGUCCCGAAACUCACCGACUCGUACCAUGAGUCACCCGCUGCCACAAAACACACCAAUUUGGAUGUCUUGGCAGCAAACACAAGAUAACACCACUACACAAUUAUCGCCGAAUAAUUAUACGAAUACGAGUUCCCGGAAGCGUCUAUUUCGACACCGAAACCCACCGUCGCUCACCCAUCAUCACCGAACACAUAAAAUGAUGAUGGUGACCAGCCAAUAAGGCUGAGCGACAAUUCACAGGAUAAACAAACCACGUCGGAAGAAAUCCGAACUGAAACCGCGUUCUUUCGGCGAAUUUCGCCGAAAAACGCACCGAAAUUGACUUUUCUAUUUCCGCGAAAGCUACAGGAUCAUGGACAAUCAGUCCAGAGGUCAAACACACUCAUACACACUGUCCACAGUGGCCCUAGGGUGCACAAUUGUACAAAAGUCCCUCUAAUUACAUAAAAUCCUAUCAUUUCAUGUAAUUUAAGCGAUUAAGUGGCCGGUUCACGCAAACCGAGGACUUCCAAGGUCUGCCAAUACACGUACUAAUAGGUCUCGAUGUGCCGGAGGCCGUGCUCACUAUCUGGAGCACAACGGCUCACUGUGGGAGGCGCGGGAGCAACCCAAAGGUUCUGCGAACAGCGAGCAGUCAGGAAAAAUCGCGUCGAACAGACCAAUACGACAUCCGCUGAUCCAAAGUAAGGUGAGAACUGUGAUUAGGACAGACCAGCGAUCACAGUGCUCACCUCCGAAGGCAUCAGGACAGCCUCGGAUCGUCGAAAAAGUGCGCACAAACCCGCAACAGCAGCCAAAAAGGCUCCACAGGGUCGACACGGCCAAAACAGUGGAACGGAGUCUCCCCGACAGAAUCUAAGGUGAGCACGAUGAUCAGAAAUUUUCCACGAUCAUCGUGCUCCCUUCCGCAGAGAUCGGGGAGGCUCGGGUUGCUCGAAACAGCAAACCGCCAAGGAAUAGCCCUAUUUCGGGCUUGGCCGGAGCAAGCUUGCUCCGGCUAGCUUCCUGCGGCACGGCAAGGCGCUCGCCGGCCAGGGAUGGGUGCGGGGGAAGAGAGGAGCACAGGGCUCACCUUAGCCGGCGGCGAGGUGCGGCGGCAGCAGCAGCGGAGCAGCUUGAGCCCACAUGGGCUAGGGCUCGGGUACCAGAGCAAUGGCGGCCACGGCGGCGGCCGGGAAGCUCAGGGAUGGCGGCAGAGGGUUGCUGGAGGCCGGAGGGCUGCCUCAGGCACGGCCCCGAGCGACGGCGGUGCGGGGGUAGGAGACGCGGCUUGCCUCGGCCUGCACAGGUCUGGGGCGGCUGCAGCUGGCCGAGGUGGCGGCGGCGGCCCGCAGGGGCGGUGGCGGCCGGCGGGGAGGCUGCUGGAGCUCCAGGGAGGACGGCCGGGGUGGUCUCAGGUGGUUGCUACGUGAGGAUGAGGCCGCACAAUCUGCUCGGCCUGGGCUUGGGCUAGGUGGCUGCAGGCGGCUGGAGCGGCAGCGGCGGCGCUCUGGGCGGCGGCGGCCGGCGGGAGGGAUCGCCGGGGUUCAAUAGUGACGGCAGAAGAGGGACCAAGGGAGGGGUGCGUAGUACCACCCUCGGCCAAGAAACAAAGAGGAAAUGGUGGUGGACGAGAUAAAAAGACAAAGAGGAAGGAGAAGUAGCUAACUCUGGCGGCCGGAGACGCGCGCCGGCGGCUGGGGUACGUGCAGUUAGGGUAGGGGAGGUAGAUGGAGUGGCUGGGGGUGCGGCUAAGGUCUAGGGUUAGGGUUUCCAGUGCAAAACCCUAGAAUACCUUAUAUAUACUUAGCUCCAAAUUGCAGAAAAGCCCAUCUAGACUCGAUAAUUCUAUCCGAGUCCCUGACAACGUGAGUAAAUCGCGCAGAUACCCCUCCACGUCCGGUUUCACGCAAAACGGUACAUAAAAUGUCACGACUUUUGCGAAAUUACUGUUUUGCCAACACCGACCUCUCCACGAUCAACGCGCGAUUUCUGCAGAUCCAUCGGUCAGAUUUGCGAACGGAUUGCGCCAGUGCAAUCAGCACGACGGAGACAACAAAGCCACGAUUUUGGUUCACCUCGAUCAUUCACAGAUUUGCGACAAAAUCCGCUUUCUCUCUGAAAGGCCAAAAUGACACACAAAUACAUAUAAACAUGUAUUUUCAUAUUUUCUCGAAAUCCGUGCAUCAAACCCAAAAUUCGUCAGCGCCAAAAGUUCCAGAAUAGCUGAACCAUUCGAAACGAGCUAUUGGACUACUAUGAACGGAGUCCGAUACGAGCCAGAAGCCACCUCUACGCAUUGAGCUCUCCGGAAAACCAAGUUACUAUUCACUUUAAGUGAAACUUGGAAAUCGCGUAGAAUCUCCAUUUUAACUCGGUUUCUUCCGAAGCUUGAAAAGUGCUUUUGUAAUUAAAUUACACACAAAAACACCGUCAACUGAGAGUUUUGCUACACUGCCAAAAUCUCGGUCCUUAUAUCAUCCCCCCCUUAAAGAAAGUUUCGUCCCCGAAACUUGCUCACAGGCAGGGGUGAUCCGAAGCUAGAGUACCAACACUCGCCUCGGAGGCUACAACCUCCCAAUGAACUGAACUAUAACCUGACGAAGUCAAAACUUAUCCAUAGGAAACCAUCGAUGGCACCCGACUCUCUUAGGUUCAAGACCUAACCAUUUGCCUAGACCAAAAAGGUCUGAGGCUGCCAGUACCAGUUGAGCCAACAAUUUAGCCUGCUCAACACUCAAACGUAAAAGCAAUGCAUGUCCGUCACUAGGUGAACAGAGUUGCCACUCGCAACAAGCGAUCAAAACCACCAGUGAUGCUCAACAUCUGUCUCUACGAGACCCUGUCGCUGUCAUCCCCAAGGGACCCUAGCGAUCGAUGUUCCUUGCAGCACUAAAUGCCCAUCUCAUCGAGACUACAACAUACCUUUCACCAAGUGACCGAACAACGACCCAAUCCCAACCAAGGUAUCCCAGGUAAACUAAAACAUAUACCUUGUACAACAACGCAAGUUGUGACCUCUGAGCCAACCACCAGGCUCACUAGAUGAUCAAAGAUGGCAGUCACCUCUCAUGGAAGAGAAAAGAAAUACCAACCCAAUCCAGAUAUUCCCCAAAGGGGUAGGGUAUCUUGUCCUAACUUUUGACAAUACGUUGUCUGCAGCCAACGUACUUAUCGAAAGAAAGGUCAAAUACCCACAGAUCCAUCUCCAACAAAAAGUUGGAGACGUGACACAAAACUAAGUCAAUCAAUAACUCUAUGAUGCACUAGAAUGCACGAACAGAGACCUAGCAUCACGACUGCACAAUAGCUAGAUCCGACACACACCGUACUGACAAUGAACCCACAAAAGGUCAAAACAUCCGCCCAGGCAAUCCCACCAGCAAAACUAUCCGACAUAACUCAAAAGAGUGCACCUUGUGCUGGCGGAUUGACCAGCAAAGGUCUCAUUGUCCUGUGUUGGAGGUUGGGCGAUAACAGUAGCAAUAGCAGCCUGUCAACACCUCACUGCUCAAAGAUAGACUACUCACUGCCCCCACUCCUAACACCAAAACGACUACAUACCAUACCCUGCAGCACAAGAAACACAAGGUAAAAAACACAAAUCAACCUUCGAGCCACCAAGCUCGAUAACCACGAGAUUAAAUCUAGAAUACCCCGCGCUCGUACGUGCUUACGAUCUUAUGGUCAUCCUAUGGUCAACCUAACCAAUGGUUAAGUUAGAAAACUUAUAAAUGCAGUUGUAGUUGUUUCACUCUCUGAUACCAUCUUAAUCUGUCACGCCCAGGGGCCGAUUUUAAAAGCCAUUUUAAAAUCCAUUACCAUUUUGAAACAGAGUUGCGGAAGACGUGCCAUUUUUUUUUUUCAACCUAGCCCACGUGACAUACAGAUCCGCCACAAAUACAAAGUUCCUCAGUCCACUCGAACAGAGUCUCCUUUGUAUUUGCACGGCGUACCAACUAUACAACAGGAUUUCAACCACAACCUACAUUUACCAAUCAACAACCAAUUCAUGAUAUGCAUUUCCAUACAACUAACGAUCCUUAGAAAUGAUGCAUGCCUCUAAGCACUCCUUAGGCGCUGGAUGAUGCAAUACACAAUACAACAAACAUCCUAUUUAAAAGUGCUCCCCACACGGAAGCUUUUAUCUUUAAACUCUAAUUCAUUCAUUCAUGAAAACUAUUCGAAAACCUUUUUAAAACUGUUUCCCACACGAAAACUCUAUUUUGAAAAUCAACUAUCUCGAGGGGUAAAAAACCACGAUGCGUAAAUAUGUAUACAUACACAAAUCCGAGAACUAAAUAUUCAUAAAACCAAAACUAGUGAUCCACAAAAUCUCUAAUCAUACAUAACGAAAAUCACAAACAUUCAAACAUCUAACUGAACUAUUUACUAUUAACAACAACUAAAUGCGGGAAGAAAUAUAACCAGGGUGACGGUCGCUACUGCCGACUAGCUAGAUCGUCCUCCCAUCGAGCCCAAAUACCAACUCCUCGUCCAUGUCACCUGGGGGGAAUGGGGGGUGAGAAACCGCAACUAUGGUUUCCCAGUGGGUACGACAGAGCCACGAAGGCAAGCCGUAAU